AAGUUUCACCAACGGAUCUCUUGGCUCUNGCAUCGAUGAAGAACGCAGCGAUAUGCGAUAAGUAAUGGGAAUGCAGAAUCAGGGAUCAUCGAAUCUCUGAACGCACCUUGCGCUGCCUGGUAUUCCUCGGAGCAAGCCUGUUUGAGUAUCA
rnacentral:rRNA from 1 species